CAGCCCGUUCCGCAGCGGGACGGACAGGGAGGGGGGACCGGCUCCCCAUGGGAUGUGCUGCACCUGGCACUGCGGCGUCUGGGCGGGCGGCGAGGCGGGAAGAGGAGGAACGCAGUUAACCCUGGAUGGCGAACACGGCUGGUGCUGGAGACAAGGCGUGAGCUCACCGCCGCGUUCCCUCAGCGUUCUGACAACAUCUUUGGAUUUCUCUGAAGAGUUCCACAAGUGGAAAGUGGAUUUCACUUUGCAGGAGCCUUAAUCCAGUGGAGAAUACAACAUGUUGGGAAUCCCUUGUGAGUGUCCUGUCAUAGUAGAUAAAAUAAGAUGGCAAGUGAAAUUUCAUGGCAUCUAACUUUGAACCAAAAUGUGUCCUAUCACUUUAAAUGAAUGGCUUUACUUGGGGUCAGUCGUAACCAAAGAAAGUUGUCAUGGAAACCUUGAUAGGAUAAUUAUCCGGGCAGAGCAAUAAGGCCCCAGAGACUGUGUAAUCCGGUGGCCAUUUAUUCUGGAAGAGUUGGGCUUCUGUCUAGUAAAGGAGUAUGAUUUGGUUGAUUAAAAUAAAUCUGCUCUUGUCUAGCAAAGGCAAUUACUGCAUGGCACUUCAAUUUAUUCACUGGUAAAAAUAUUCUAAAACUGUUUAGAGAAGCCCAAGUGUGGUCGCUAAAGAAGUUUUUGUUCCGGAACUUAAUUUUGCUCCAAGUUCUCCUCCCUUCCACAUUGUCCACACUCUUGCUGUAAUUACCAUGAUCAUGUUCUUUCCUGUUAGCUUGGUAUCUCUGUAUUACACUCCAUUACAUAUUGUACACGUAACCAAAGUGCCAAUUAUACCACUUGAGAUAAAUAUCAUCCUGUACAAAAAGAAUGUGCAUAAUUAGUCUUGUUCAAUUUGUUCAUUUCACAGUGUAAGUGCAAAGGGCUAAAAUAAUCACACGAUUGUAGCUGAAAAUGUUUAAAAAGUACUUGAAGUACUUCUGUGAAAUAGAUGAUUGGAAAGCUUA